rnacentral:rRNA from 1 species
UACAGAGGUCUCAAGCGUUGUUCGGAUUCAUUGGGCGUAAAGGGUGCGUAGGCGGGCUGGCAAGUCAGGGGUGAAAGCCCACGGCUCAACCGUGGAAGUGCCUCUGAUACUGCCGGCCUGGAGGGAGGUAGGGGCGUGCGGAACUUCCGGUGGAGCGGUGAAAUGCGUAGAUAUCGGAAGGAACACCGGUGGCGAAAGCGGCGCGCUGGACCUCUUCUGACGCUGAGGCGCGAAAGCCAGGGGAGCAAACGGG